CGGGUGAGUAAUGUAUGGGGAUCUGCCUGAUGGCGGGGGAUAACUACUGGAAACGGUAGCUAAUACCGCAUAAUGUCUGCGGACCAAAGCGGGGGACCUCCGGGCCUCGCGCCAUCAGAUGAACCCAUAUGGGAUUAGCUUGUAGGUAAGGUAACGGCUUACCUAGGCGCGAUCCCUAGCUGGUCUGAGAGGAUGAUCAGCCACACUGGGACUGAGACACGGCCCAG
rnacentral:rRNA from 1 species